GGGGGAUAUUGCACAAUGGGGGAAACCCUGAUGCAGCGACGCCGCGUGAGCGAAGAAGGCCUUCGGGUCGUAAAGCUCUGUCCUAAGGGAAGAUAAUGACGGUACCUUAGGAGGAAGCCCCGGCUAACUACGUGCCAGCAGCCGCGGUAAAACGUAGGGGGCGAGCGUUGUCCGGAAUUACUGGGCGUAAAGGGUGCGUAGGCGGCUAUUUAAGUCAGAUGUGAAAGGCUACGGCUCAACCGUAGUAAGCAUUUGAAACUGAAUAGCUUGAGUCAAGGAGAGGGAAGUGGAAUUCCUGGUGUAGCGGUGAAAUGCGUAGAUAUCAGGAGGAAUACCAGUGGCGAAGGCGACUUCCUGGCCUUAGACUGACGCUGAGGCACGAAAGCGUGGGGAGCAAAC
rnacentral:rRNA from 1 species